rnacentral:tRNA from 1 species
GGUCCCAUGAUCUAGUGGUUAGGAUAUUGGACUUUGAAUCCAAUAACUUGAUAACUUGAUUUCAAAUCUCGGUAGGACCU